AGUCCUUGACUGGGGUAGAGUGGUAUCAAGUUGGUGGUGCUCAUCUCAUACCACUCAGAGACAAAAAAAGCCCAUUGUUUAUACCAGCAUGUCUUUUGGUCUAUACCCAUGCCUGAUUCAUGCCUUGGACACAUGG
rnacentral:snoRNA from 1 species